rnacentral:rRNA from 1 species
CCCAUGCCGCGUGUGGGAUGACGGAUCUAGGUUUGUAAACCUGUUUCGGAGGGAAGAAAAUGACGGUACCUCCACAAGAAGCCCCGGCCAAGUACGUGCCAGGAGCCGCGGUAAUACGGAGGGGGCGAGCGUUGUCCGGAUUUAUUGGGCGUAAAGAGCUCGUAGGCGGUUCAACAAGUCGGUCGUGAAAGUUCAGGGCUCAACCCUGAAAUGUCGAUCGAUACUGUUGUGACUAGGAUACGGUAGAGGUGAGUGGAAUUCCGAGUGUAGCGGUGAAAUGCGUAGAUAUUCGGAGGAACACCAAUUGCGAAGGCAGCUCACUGGACCGCUAUCGACGCUGAGGAGCGAAAGCUAGGGGAGCAAACAGGAUUAGAUACCCUGGUAGUCCUAGCUGUAAACGAUGGAUACUACACGUAGGAACUGGAUUGACGGUUUCUGUGUCGUAGCUAACGCGUUAAGUAUCCCGCCUGGGGAGUACGGUCGCAAGACUAAAACUCAAAGGAAUUGACGG